GUUAGUUUGGCCUAUUGCAGCGUCCCAGCAUCUGUCGCGUUUCUCAUGUGUGAUUGGGCUCUGGCGGCCCAUCCUGGCGGAGACUUCGGCUAGCAGGCCCCGCUGCAGACCCCAGGCCGGCUCGGGUCUACCUGCGCCAGCGCUGUACCUGGGCGACCUUGGCUUUGCCCCCACCGGUGACCCGGCCCGCAGGACGUGUGGGUGCCGCUCAGCUCCCCCCGCCUCGGCCGCCGACCCCCAGCUCCCCGGCGGGGCCUCCUCCUGCCACGUGACGCCCCCGCCAGGGGCCCCAGCGCCCUCCUCGCGGCCGCGCCGUUCCGGCUCCCGAGCCCCGCCUGCGCGCGGCCUCCUCGGCGCAGCCAUCCUCUUGGCUGCCGCGGGCGGCAAAGCCCACGGCAUCUGCCAUUUGUCAUUCAGCCCGUCGGUACCGCCCCGAGCCUUGAUUUAGACACGGCUGGGGCGUGCUCUGGCCUCACUCUCCGGGCGGGUGCUGGACGGACGGACGGACGGGGCAGCCGUGCUCACAGCUCAGCAGCGCGGGGCCUUGGCGCGCGGGGCGCUUCCCCGGGUCGCCGUCAUGGCCGCGGAGGUGGCACGCCCGAGCGGCCUCGCCUGAGCUCCGGGGGUCGUCGCCCCGCAGGGUAGGUGUUUGGGUGCUCGCGGCUGCGGCGGGCGGGCUGGGGGCAGCGGUGGCCGUGCAUUGCCGCGCUGCGAGGACGGCGCUGGGUUCGCGGCCGCGAGGAGGGUGUGCCUUUGCCGCGCCGCCUACGUGCGGGUCCGGGCUCCGCGGGGCCGGGUGCGGGACCCCGCAGAUCGUCACCCGCAACCCAGGCAGCCCCACCGCGAGUGCCGCCGGACCCCCUGGACGCCGCUGCCAGAGGCGUUCGCGCCUAUCUGGUAUGAGGUCCACAGACCCGAUUCUUACAACCUGGCGCUCUAACCUCGCCAACGGGCCAGGAAAAAAACAGAACAAGGAAAAGAAGAAAAAGUCUGUUCCAAGUAAUAAUGGGACUAGACAGUAACUGUUUGCACUUUCGUCUCUUAUGGAAAAUAUGAUUAUUUUGAUGCUUUAGUAUUACAGACUGUAUCAGACAUACUCUUAAAAGUAUUUAAAAACGUGGGGUCCUAAAAAUUUCCUAGAUCGGGACAGCUGAUAAUGCGACUUCUGUUAGUCUCCGCAUCCAACUUUCAGGGCGGAAUGGGGAUUUCUACCUUUUACUGAAUAUACUCCUGUAAUUUUGAAUAUUUUUUCUCAUCAAAUGUGUUACUUUCAUGUUUUAGGAAACCAAUAAAAAUCAAAAAUAGAAACACCCAGCUUAGGUCCUCCUUCUUCCAGGAAUCCUCCUCUAACCCCUCCCUCCCAGGCAGGAUCGGAGGCCCCUCCCGGGUGCUUUCUGGGGCCUCACUGAGGUCCUGGUCCCCUAAGUCCUCCCCCGCAGCCCCUCCGCGUAUUAACCCACCGGUCUCGCUGGGCUCAGAGAUUGCUUACUUAGCACAUGGUAAGUGAUUAAUACUGUUUAAUGACCGAGGGAAAAGAUAAAAUGUUCUCUGAUGUUUCACGCUUUUCGCUCUGAAGUUAAAUAGUGGUAAAUUUAUAUGCGCUUAGAUAAGAACAUUUAACAGUUAAGGAUCUGGAAAAGUUGACGACGUCCGAUGUCCGUGUUUCCUGAUCCAGCAGUUGCACGCCUGGGUAUUCAUCCUUAAGAACAAUGUUUUUCAGAAUUUGAAGUCCAUUUUAGUGGGUCGUAAAGUCAUUUAAAUGGAUGAUCAGAAUUUGUAAAACACAGACGGAGAAUAGAACAUCAGUGUCUCUCAGGUCAUAGGGGUGUUCGCUUUAUGAAUCUCUCUCCCCCUCCUCAGUUUCAUACAUACACAAAUGUGUGUCAUGAUGUAAAACGUCAUUCCUUAGUAUGAGUCAUGGACAAAAAAGUUUGAAAGCCACUGCCCUAGAUAAAUUUUAAUACAUGUCCACAAGCAGACGUGUACAAGAAGGUUGACUGUAAUGGCAGAAAACUGGAUGCCGCCUUCAUGCCUACCUGAAGGAGAAAGAUAAAUUAUACACCACUCAUAAAAAGGGCACACUGUACAGUGGCCAAUGAAGUAUUUUUGUGUUUCAACACAAAUGCCUUUCAGUGUUGAACCAAAAAAAAAAAAAGUUGCCGGAGAAUGCUGUGUGAUAUCUUCUAUGUAAAAUUCAGAACCUGGUGGAGCAAAGCUGUUGUUUAGGGAUGCAUGUAUAGGCAUUAAAAGUAGUAAAGAAAAAAAGUCAAGCUAAUGGUCAUCUCCUAGUGGGGAGGAGAGGGUCAGGGGCUCAGAGAUGCUGGAAAUGCUUUAUCGCCUGACCUGUGCAAUGGUUACAUGGGUGUUUGCUUUGUAACUCUUUGUUAAAUGAUACACACUGGGUUUGAAUGUUACAUUUCCCCCCAAAUAUGUUAAAAUAUGGGUGUUGCAAACUGAAGAAGCCUGAGUCUAGGGCUCUCCGUCUGUUAUUCUUAUUUCCUGGCUUCUUUUUAGAAAAAAAAAAUCUUGCUCAGGGAGGAGUACCUAGGGAAUUUAUCAGUAAUGUUUUAUUUCAUAAAUUCCAUGGUGGACAUACCAGUAUUCAUUAAAUUAUUCUUUAUGUAUUCUUAUAACUUAAUUUAUAAUAUUUCAAAAAGCAUUUAGGAGAAAACAUCAUUUGGUGUGUUUGCUUUCCCAAAAGUCACAUUUACAUGUUUUGUACACAACUGGAAUAUUUUAUAUAGUAAUUUUAGCUAAAAUCAAAUUUUGUUAUGAAAAACGAAAUACUAAAAAGUAUAUAAAAAUCACAGAACUUUACAGACUUUCAGCGUUUUAAAAUGCUAACAUAUUGUAUUUACCUCAAUAAUUUCUGUUCCUCAGUUCUUUCAGGCCACAUUUUUAGUGCUCAAUAGCCUCAUAUGACUUUAAUAUUUUAUUAUAUUUUAUUAUGUUAUAUAUUUUACAUUAUACAUUAUAGAACAGAAUAUUUCCAUCAUUGCAGAAAUUUAUAUUGGAAAACAUUCUGGAUACAAAUAUUUGUUAUAUACUUGCAGAUAUUAAACUGUAGACAUUAAUCCUUAUGCUUUUUGUCUUAAGAUACUCUACUAUUAAUGAAAUGUAUUCUGAAUAUUUUUCUAAGAAUUUUUAAGUUUAUGUUUUGUCCACAUUUUGUUCUUUAAUUUACCUGAGACAUGUAUAUAUUGAGAUGUAUAUAUUUUAUGUUAUGAGAUCAAGCUUAAUUAAUUUUCAGAUUCCCACAUGAAAAGGUAAUUGUCCCAAUAUCAGUGAUUAGCAGUGCCACUUCUGUCACAUACAGUACCCAGAUAUGUUUGGGCUUAUUUCCAGGCUGUUAAUCCUGGUUUAUUUGUCAUUUGAAAAUACUGCAGAUUUUCAUUUACUGCUGCUUUCUAUGUAGUAUAUUGUUCAGUUCUAAGAAUUUAAGAUUUUUUCAUUGUGAUAUUUUUUCUUCCCCUAAGAGAUUUGUAGAAAGUAGUCUAGUUCCAAUGUGGAAGGUUUUGUGAGUUAUCCUUUUGUUACUGAUUUCUAAUUUGCACUGUAGUUAGCAUACGUGUCAAGGCCAACAAUUCUUUGAAAUUCGAGAAUUGCUUUAUGGUUUUAACUGCUCCUUGUAUCAUCAAGAAUAAUUUGUACUCACAGACUUUUGAGGCAAUGUAUGUAGGUGUGUGUAUAUAUAUAAUAUAUACACAUACACUUUAUAUAUAGAUUAUAUAUAAUCUCUCUGUAGAGUUUAUAUAAAAAUUAAAUAUAUUUAUAUAAAUGUAUAUAUAUAUAUGAAUAAAAUCUCCUGUCUCUAAG
rnacentral:sRNA from 1 species